rnacentral:rRNA from 1 species
GACGAACGCUGGCGGCGUGCCUAACACAUGCAAGUCGAGCGAGGUAUUUAUACCUAGCGGCGGACGGGUGAGUAACACGUGGGUAACCUGCCUCAUAGAGGGGAAUAGCCUUCCGAAAGGGAGAUUAAUACCGCAUAAUAUAUACUGGUAGCAUAAAUGGUAUAUCAAAGGAGAAAUCCGCUAUGAGAUGGUCCCGCGGCGCAUUAGCUAGUUGGAGAGGUAACGGCUCACCAAGGCGACGAUGCGUAGCCGAGCUGAGAGGGUGAUCGGCCACAUUGGAGCUGAGACACGGUCCAGACUCCUACGGGAGGCAGCAGUGGGGAAUCUUGCGCAAUGGGCGAAAGCCUGACGCAGCCAUGCCGGGUGGAUGAUGAAGGUCUUAGGAUUGUAAAAUCCUUUCACCGGUGAAGAUAAUGACUGUAGCCGGAGAAGAAGCCCCGGCUAACUUCGUGCCAGCAGCCGCGGUAAAAC